GGGGAUAUAGCUCAGUUGGUAGAGUGCUUGCCUCCCAUGCACAAAGCCCUGGGUUCAAUCCCCAGCAACACCA
rnacentral:tRNA from 1 species